rnacentral:rRNA from 1 species
CACGCCGUAAACGAUGAUUACUAGGUGUAGGGGGUAUCGACUCCCUCUGUGCCACAGUUAACGCAUUAAGUAAUCCACCUGGGGAGUACGGCCGCAAGGUUAAAACUCAAAGGAAUUGACGGGGGCCCGCACAAGCAGUGGAGUAUGUGGAUUAAUUCGAGGCAACGCGAAGAACCUUACCAGGGCUUGACAUCUCCUGCAGACACAAGAGAUUGUGUUGUCCCUUCGGGGCAGGAAGACAGGUGG